rnacentral:lncRNA from 1 species
CUGUGUAGGAGGCAGUUCGGGAGCGACUCUCAAAAGGUGCAGUGGCUUGCAAGGUUCAGAGCUGGCGUGGGCAGGGACACCCCUCUCAGAGCUAACAGAGUGCACUGCAGCCCUGGCGCCAGCUCGGGGAAUCAGGUCAGGUGGGCCCUACACGAGAAGAUUCCACAGAUACUGCCUGCCUAAAGUGGAUCUUGAGUCAGAUCCUACGAAAGCCAGAAGGAGGGCAUGGCUGAGAGCACCUCGGAGAGGCAGAAAAAGGGAAGCUGACUCAACACUGCUCUGUUGGGAAAGAUGUGGGGAGAGAUUCUGGAGAUGACCUUGGCUCCUGGAGAUGGCAUCUUAAAGCAGAUCUCUGCCAGGCGAGAUCCCGUGGCCCAUGGGACACACCUUCACUGGGCCUGAGCUGUCUGUCGGCUUCAUCUAGUGGGACACUGGCAGGUAUUCACAAGUGAGAUGGCAAAGGUGACCCACGGUGGGCCCCGGGUCUUCCAGUGUCAGUGAAAAGUGCACAGAAGGGUCUGGGCCUAUACCUUUCACAAUGUGUAUGAAGGUCAUCUGUCUCCUGUCCCUCCCACUCCCUGGGCUCCCGUUUGGGGGGUGGGAAAAGUAGAGAUUAUCCAAAAGCCACAGAAAUUUCCCAGCCCUCUCCCCACUGCACUUCAGGACCACCCACCCAGGGCCUGCCCUGGGCUCCCUCCUCCCAGAAAGUCAAUUUCCCUACAAAGGAGGCUAGGGAGCGAGAAGGGCUUUCUGCUUUCUCUUUUGGUUUGCUUGUUUGCUUGCUCUCCCGCUCACAUUGUGCAUAUGCAGGGGACUAGCUGGUUCUCUCGGUCUCAUAAGAGGAAGAGUGGUGACCCUGGCUCAGACAGGUGUGGAAGGAGCAUCCUAGCACCGAGGGGCAUUGGCUGCUGAGCCAGACAGGGGGCAGGGUGUGCACUCUCCUCUGGGCCUGCAGAGGCAAAGUCCAGUCUUUGCUGUUCUAGAACAGACACACUGCAGUCCUGGAUAACCCCCUAAGCUCUCUUUCUAGAGCCUGAUGGCUGCAGAAUGUUUUCUCCUGGCCAAUGCGUGCCUGUGUAGUUUAUAUACAUGUGCGUAUGUCUGUAGAUAUGUGUGUAUAAAUAUAGAUAGACGGAUAUAAAUCAAGGGUUUAGGAGGUAGGCGGCGGCGCUGACGGCAGCCAAGCCACUGCUAGUUGUUCCAAGAGGGCACUUCAGGUGUCUCCCUGCACUCCUCUCCCGUCACUUCCGCCUGUGGCCCCUGGUCCCCACUCCCAAGCGUCAAGCUGUCAUCAUCACCAACUCCUCCCUCACUUCCCCCCACAGGCAGGCUGUUGCUAUAUCCUCACUCAUUCCUCCGCAGCAACUCUGAAAUCUGUUUCUUUCUGGGUCUCACCCGCUCCCUCUGCAGCCCCCUCAUCGUGUCCCCAUCUCUCUUUCCGCAUCUCCUUGCCUCCUGGCCUCUGUUUCCUUGGCUUCUCACUCUCUUUGACUCUGAGCUCAUCCAUCACCCUGACCCGCUCCUCUGUGCAUAUUCUAGGGACACACCGAACUCCCAGCCAAGUACCACAGCCAGGCACUUUCGUUGGGGAGGGUGCAUUUCUAACCUUUUUUCUAGCCUCACUGUCAAGUGCACAUUUGUCCUGGCCUGGGCUCUGAGCAGGGCCAGAACAGGGAGGAGAACGGCCCCAUGGCUCCACCUCACCAGCUGUGAGAACCUGUGGGCCUGGGGAAGAGCAGCUGGGCCAGGAACCAGUGAUGCAGCCCUCUCUGUGAUGGAAACAAGACACAGGCCUGGCUCAUUUGCAUGUCAGGUCUCUUUUACAUAAAUCUGCAUGUCAAGCUGGAGGCCCUGGAGCCAGGUAAUGCAAAGUGAUGCAAAAUAAAUUAAUCAGUGUGCCCUG